UACGUAGGGUGCAAGCGUUGUCCGGGAUUAUUGGGCGUAAAGAGCUCGUAGGCGGUUCGUCGCGUCGGCUGUGAAAUCCCGAGGCUCAACCUCGGGUCUGCAGUCGAUACGGGCGGACUGGAGUUCGGCAGGGGAGACUGGAAUUCCUGGUGUAGCGGUGAAAUGCGCAGAUAUCAGGAGGAACACCGGUGGCGAAGGCGGGUCUCUGGGCCGAUACUGACGCUGAGGAGCGAAAGCGUGGGGAGCGAACAGG
rnacentral:rRNA from 1 species